rnacentral:piRNA from 1 species
UAUCAGUUCUCAUAGCUCCAAAUAUGCUU